rnacentral:rRNA from 1 species
AUUGAACGCUGGCGGAAUGCUUUACACAUGCAAGUCGAGCGGCAGCGCGGGGCAACCUGGCGGCGAGCGGCGAACGGGUGAGUAAUGCAUCGGAACGUACCCCGUCGUGGAGAAUAACUACCCGAAAGGGUAGCUAAUACCGCAUACGACCUGAGGGUGAAAGCGGGGGACCGAAAGGCCUCGCGCGAUGGGAGCGGCCGAUGCCGGAUUAGCUAGUUGGUAGGGUAAAGGCCUACCAAGGCGACGAUCCGUAGCUGGUCUGAGAGGACGACCAGCCACACUGGAACUGAGACACGGUCCAGACUCCUACGGGAGGCAGCAGUGGGGAAUUUUGGACAAUGGGCGAAAGCCUGAUCCAGCCAUUCCGCGUGAGUGAAGAAGGCCUCGGUUGUAAG